GCUCCGUGGCUCAAUGGUUACAGCGUUUGACUUCUGAUCAACAGGUCGUGGGUUCGAGCCUCGGAUGGUGCA
rnacentral:tRNA from 1 species